rnacentral:rRNA from 1 species
UACGUAGGGUGCAAGCGUUAUCCGGAAUUAUUGGGCGUAAAGAGCUCGUAGGUGGUUUGUCGCGUUGUUCAUGAAAUCUCACGGCUUAACUGUGAGCGUGCGGGCGAUACGGGCAGACUAGAGUACUGCAGGGGAGACUGGAAUUCCUGGUGUAGCGGUGAAAUGCGCAGAUAUCAGGAGGAACACCGAUGGCGAAGGCAGAUCUCUGGGCCGUAACUGACGCUGAGGAGCGAAAGCAUGGGGAGCGAACAGGG